rnacentral:lncRNA from 10 species
AUAAAAUAUAAAAAUCCAGCCCAGUUCAUGACUCGUUUGGCAGCAACCCUGAGACACUUUACAGCCCUAGACCCUAAAAGGUCAAAAGGCCGUCUUAUUCUUAAUACACAUUUUAUUACCCAAUCUGCUCCCGACAUUAAAUAAAACUCCAAAAAUUAAAUUCCAGCCCUCAAACCCCACAACAAGAGUUAAUUAACCUCCCUUCAAGGUGUACAAUAAUAGAGUAGAGGCAGCCAAGUAGCAAUGUAUUUCUGAGUUGUAAUUCCUUGCCUCCACUGUGAGACAAACCCCAGCCACAUCUCCAGCACACAAGAACUCCAAACGCCUGAACCACAGCUUCCAGGGGUUCCUCCAGAACCUCCUCCCCCAGGAGCUUGCUACAAGUGCCAGAAAUCUGGCCACUGGGCCAAGGAAUGCCCACAGCCCAGGAUUCCUCCCAAGCUGUGUCCCAUCUGUGCAGGACCCCACUGAAAAUCAGACUGUUCAACUCACCUGGCAGCCACUUCCAGAGCCCCUGGAACUCUGGCCCAAGGCUCUCUGACUGACUCCUUCCCUGAUCUUCUCAGCUUAGCAGCUGAAGACUGACACUGCCUGAUUGCCUCAGAAGCCUACAGGACCAUCACAGAUGCUCUAGGUAACUCUCACAGUGGAAGGUAAGUCCGUCCCCUUCUUAAUCAAUACGGAGGCUACCCACUCCACAUUACCUUCUUUUCAAGGGCCUGUUUCCCUUGCCUCCAUAACUGUUGUAGGUAUUGGCGGCCAGGCUUCUAAACCUCUUAAAACUCCCCAACUUUGGUGCCAACUUAGACAAUACUCUUUUAAGCACUCCUUUUAAUUAUCCCCACCUGCCCAGUUCCCUUAUUAGGCCGAGACACUUCAACUAAAUUAUCUGCUUCCCUGACUAUUCCUGGGCUACAGCCACACCUCAUUGCUGCCUUUUCCCCCAGUUCAAAGCCUCCUUCACAUCAUCCCCUUCUAUCUCCCCACCUUAACCCAUAAGUAUAGGACACCUCUACUCCCUCCUUGGUGACAAAUGAUGCACCCCUUACCAUCCCAUUAAAACCUAAUCACCCUUACCCCACUCAAUACCAAUAUCCCAUCCCACACCAUGCUUUAAAAGGAUUAAAGACUGUUAUCACUCGCCUGCUACAGCAUGGCCUUUUAAAGCCUGUAAACUCCCCUUACAAUUCCCCUAUUUUACUGUUCUAAAUCCAGACAAGGCUUACAGGUUAGUUCAGGAUCUGCAACUUAUCAACCAAAUUGUUUUGCCUAUCCACCCAAUGGUGCCAAACCCAUAUACUCUCCUAUCCUCAAUACCUCCCUCCACAACCCAUUAUUCUGUUCUGGAUCUCAAACAUGCUUUCUUUACUAUUCCUUUGCACCCUUCAUCCCAGCCUCUCUUCGCUUUCACUUGGACUGACCCUGACACCCAUCAGGCUCAGCAAAUUACCUGGGCUGUACUGCCACAAGGCUUCACAGACAGCUCCCAUUACUUCAGUCAAGCCCAAAUUUCUUCCUUAUCUGUUACCUAUCUCAGCAUAAUUCUCAUAAAAACACACGUGCUCUCCCUGCCGAUCAUGUCCCACUGAUCUCUCAAACCCCAACACCUUCUAAAAAACAACAACUCCUUUCCUUCCUAGGCGUGGUUGGAUACUUUAGAUAUCUGGUUUUGCCAUCCUAACAAAACCAUUAUAUAAACUCACAAAAGGAAACCUAGCUGACCCCAUAGAUCCUAAUUCCUUUCCCCACUUCUCUUUCCAUUCCUUGAAGACAGCUUUAGAGACUGCCCCCACCCCAGCUCUCCCUGACUCAUCCCAACCCUUUUCAUUACCCACAGCCGAAGUGCAGGGCUAUGCAGUCAGAACUCUUACACAAGGACUGGGACCGUGCCCUGUAGCCUUUUUAUCCAAACAACUUGACCUUACUGUUUUAGCCUAGCCCUCAAGUCUGCGUGCGGCAGCCGCCGCUGCCCUAAUACUUUUAGAGUCCCUCAAAAUCACAAACUAUGCUCAACUCACUCUCUACAGUUCUCAUAACUUCCAAAAUCUGUUUUCUUCCUCACACCUCACACAUAUACUUUCUGCUCCCCGACUCCUUCAGCUGUACUCACUCUUUGUUGAGUCUCCCACAAUUACCAUUGUUCCUGGCCCAGACUUCAAUCCAGCCUCCCACAUUAUUCCUGAUACCACACCUGACCCUCCUGACUGUAUCUCUCUGAUACAUCUGACAUUCACCCCCAUUUUCCCAUAUUUCCUUCUUUCCUGUUCCUCACCCUGAUCACACUUGGUUUAUUGAUGGCAGUUCCACCAGGCCUAAUUGCCACACACCAGCAAAGGUAGGCUAUGCUAUAGUACAAGCCACUAGCCCGCCUCUUAUAACCUCUCAUUUCCUUUCCAUUGUGUAAAUCUAUCCUCAAGGAAAUAACUUCUCAGUGUUCUAUCUGCUAUUCUACUACUCUUCAGGGAUUAUUCAGGCCCCCUCCCUUCCCUACACAUCAAGCUCGGGGAUUUGCCCCUGCCCAGGACUGGCAAAUUAGCUUUACUCAACAUGCCCUGAGUCAGGAAACUAAAAUACCUCUUGGUCUAGGUAGACACUUUCACUGGAUAGGUAGAGGCCUUUCCCACAGGGUCUGAGAAGGCCACCACGGUCAUUUCUUCCCUUCUGUCAGACAUAAUUCCUCAGUUUGGCCUUCCCACCUCUAUACAGUCCGAUAGCAGACCGGCCUUUAUUAGUCAAAUCACCCAAGUAGUUUCUCAGGUUCUUAGUAUUCAGUAAACUAAUGGUCUUUUUAAAACACACCUCACCAUGCUCAGCCAUCAAUUAAAAGAGACUGGACAAUACUUUUACCACUUGCCCUUCUCAGAAUUCAGGCCUGUCCUCAGAAUGCUACAAGGUACAGCCCAUUUGAGCUCCUGUAUAGACGCUCCUUUUUAUUAGGCCCCAGUCUCAUUCCAGACACCAGACCAACUUGGACUGAGCCCCCCAAAAAAAAACUUGUCAUCCCUACUAUCUUCUGUCUAGUCAUACUCCUAUUCACCUUUCUCAACUACUCAUAAAUGCCCUGCUUUUGUUUACACUGCCGGUUUACACUGUUUCUCCAAGCCAUCACAGCUGGUAUCUCCUGGUGCUAUCCCCAAACCACCACUCUUAACUCCCUCUUAAAGUAAAUAAAUAAUCUUUGCUGGCAGGGCUAUGCUGAACCUCCUUAGACACUCUCUAAUUGGAUGUUCUAGGUCCUCCGAAUUCUUAGUCCUUUACUACCUGUUUUUCUCAUUGUCUUAUUCCGUUCUUUUUUCAAUUCAUACGAAACCAUAUCCAGGCCAUCACCAAUAAUUCUAUACAACAAAUGUUUCUUCUAACAACCCCACAAUAUCACCCCUUACCACAAAAUCUUCCUUCAGCUUAAUCUCUCCCAGUCUAGGUUCCCACACCACCCCUAAUCCCGCUCGAAGCAGCCCUGAGAAACAUCGCCUGUUAUCUCUCCAAAGCACCCCCAAAAAUUUUCGCCACCCCAACACUUCAACACUAUUUUAAUUUUUCUUAUUAAUAUAAGAAGACAGGAAUGUCAGGCCUCUGAGCCCCAGCUAAGCCAUCAUAUCCCCUGUGACCUGCACGUAUACAUGCAAAUGGCCUGAAGUAACUGAAGAAUCACAAAAGAAGUGAAAUUUAAAUGGCCUGUUCCUGCCUUAACUGAUGACAUUCCACCACAAAACAAGUGAAAAUGGCCAGUCCUUGCCUUAACUGAUGACAUUACCUUGUGAAAUUCCUUCUCCUGGCUCAUCCUGGCUCAAAAAGCUCCCCCAAUGACCACCUUGUGACCCCCACUCCUGCCCACCAGAGAACAACCCCUCUUUGACUGUAAUUUCCUUUACCUAUGCAAAUCUUAUAAAAUGGCCCCACCCCUGUCUCCCUUCACUGACACUCUUGUCGGACUCAGCCCGCCUGCACCCAGGUGAAAUAAACAGCCUUGUUGCUCACACAAAGCCUGUUCAGCGGUCUUUUCACGUGGACGCGAGUGAAAAAAAGAACUCUUUAAGAGAUUAAAAAAACAACUCUCAACUUUUAGUCUACUUCUUCACUAGAGUUCAAGCAAACUACAACCUGUGGACUAAAUAUGAACCUUGGGCCUGUUUCACAUUGCUCACAAGUUAAGAAUAUUUUUUAGGCUUUUCAAGAGUUAAAAAUAAAAGAGAAGGAAAGAAGAGAGAGAGGGAGAAAAGAGAUACAGGAGACCAUAUGUGGACCCCAAUAGAGCUUGCAAAUUUACUUUAUGGACCUUUACUGAAAAAGUUUGCCAACUCCUGACUCCUGGACCAACAUUUUCCUUUGAGCUUGCUGUCACUAUCCUGAAUUACUUCCCAUGUAUGAAGCAUAAUGAGAACCUCCAUAAUUAAAUAUAUUCUAUGAGAAUUCAUCCACAAAUAACUCUUUAAAAUUUCAAGGAAAAUAUAUAAAAUAACUCUGAGGAGACCCCUGAGAACAAUCAAGAUCAGAAAGAAACUACUGGAAAGCAUUUAACUCUUUCUUGAAAGAACCAGAGAAUUAUGAUGGUUCAGAGAAGAGACCAUUACUUCCAGGGUGAUUGUCUAGAGAGAGUGGCAUUUUAGGCAGCUUUUGAAAAUGAAAAGCUUUGAAUUUUGAUUGUUUGACAUGUUUGUAUAGGACAUUCUAAUACAUAAGGUCAUGUUAAUAAAUGUUCACAAAUCAGAUAAAAGAACAGCUUGCAAGUUCAGACACUGUAUUUUAUACAAUUAUUCCUUGGCCAAGGCUUCUGCAAUUUGAUUUUAAAGUUUUAAGUUAAAAACAAUGAAUUUUAUAUUCAGUCACAACUAAACCUCAAUAUAUUAACAUUAUUAAAACCAAAGAAUCAAGUCUUAACCACCAGCAUAUCCAAGAAAUUCCUCCUGAUUUACUAUUUAGACAUAAAAAAGAAACAAAAGCAUACAAAGACAUGAAACUUACCCAGGCUACAAUUCAUGCACCACUUCUCAAGGGACAAGAAACUGAACUGUUAUUGAGCAUCUUCCAUUUUAUCAAGCUUACUGAGAAAGUAAUUAAUGUGUAUCAUUGUUUCAUGUAUGUCUACUCUAUGCAAAAAACUAUUCUAGAUACUGUAGAAAACGUUUCCCUUCUUGAAGUUUGCAUAGUAGUAAGGGAAACAUACAUGUUAGCUCAGGGAGGCAUGAAUGAGAUCUCUGCAUUUAUCAGUCCAAUGUCAUAAAUAUCCCUGGCUAUUCAGAAACAGAAAACAUUUUCUCUUCCCCCUGUCCGAUUUGCAUUCCUUUCUUCAGAAUUCCCAUAGUAGUACUGUUCAUCUAUUACGGCACUUCUUAAACUAUAUUAUAAUUAUAUAUUUGACUUGCUUUGAUAACAUAGCAAGAUAUUACAGGCAAAGAAUCAGCCAUCACCAUGUUUUGCCUCUCAGAACUUUGGAAGUACAUGAAUUCCAU